AUUCACCCAACCCAGUUUAUGUCCCUUUGGAUUAGAAAAGAAUCAGAAAACAUUUCUGUAGAAAAUUAUUUCAACUCAUUUUUGACAAAAUGACUUCUGAAACAAAGUAUUUAAGAGUUGAAUAGAUAGACCAAAGUGGUGAUUUAAUGGAGCCCUUAGGCUUCAUGAUCUAAUAAAACACAUGGAGGAUGUUGCAGUGACCCCAAGGUUAAACAGUUUGCCUGUACGAGCCAAGAAGACGUAGACUGGGAUUAGAAAAAUCUUGGGUCACUGCAAAUUUAGUAUUCCUCGUUGUCACUGUUGCAAGGUAAGCAACUUCCUCCUAAUACAUUCCUCCAUCUAACUAAGGUGUUGCUUUUGUGAUAGCCCUGUGAACACUUCCUUUCAUACGUUGAAGCACCAUAAGAACCCUGGCAGCUCUACCUAUCCUGUGUUUUGAUGAUUUAUUAGAAAGCAAAGACUGAUUGCAACGCACUGGCAUCAAAAACCCAAGCUCUCUUAAGCCUUUUGGGUGUAUCAUAGCACCAUAGUCCUAGAGGGUUGCAGUUGCUUUCACACUUACUUCACUGGCUUUCUGUUCGACUUGGAGUCACCAAAAGUUUAAGUUAUUUCUUCACUGCAGUAACUUGUUGCAUCCUGUUAACAAAGAGUGCCGAGGCUUUGUAUAGGGAAUGCAUCUUUCCAGCACUUGCUUUGGUUGGCAAAAUGCAGUAACCAUUUGAUCCCAGUAAAUGUGUGCCUGGCCUGACUCAUAGAGCUCUCCUUUGCAGCCCAGCCUUGAUCUCCUUUGCUCAUGUAUAAACAACAUUUGGUUUAAAGCCUGCCCCAUUGAAAUCAGUGGCAAAGCUCCUAUUCUCUUCAGAAGUCCACCUCUCACAUGCAUUCAAAGGAGAAAUACUCCUUCCCCCUUAUGGUUUGUACUUCACGUUACCUGAUGUUAAACAGUAUCCAAGAGCACCAACACAGUGAAAAAGACAAAGGAAUCAGCUCAAGAAAAAUCUUGCUGUCGAAAGAGAACCUCUAAUAAACGUUCCGUCAACU
rnacentral:lncRNA from 1 species